rnacentral:rRNA from 1 species
UACGGAGGGUGCGAGCGUUGUCCGGAAUCAUUGGGCGUAAAGGGCGCGUAGGUGGCGGGACAAGCGUGCGGUGAAAGCCUGGGGCUCAACCCCGGGUCGGCCGUGCGAACUGUUUUGCUUGAGCACUGUAGAGGCAGGCGGAAUUCCGGGUGUAGCGGUGGAAUGCGUAGAGAUCCGGAAGAACACCGGUGGCGAAGGCGGCCUGCUGGGCAGUAGCUGACACUGAGGCGCGACAGCGUGGGGAGCAAACAGGAUUAGAUACCCUGGUAGUCCACGCCGUAAACGAUGGGCACUAGGCGCUUGGGGGAGCGACCCCCCGAGGGCCGGCGCUAACGCAUUAAGUGCCCCGCCUGGGGAGUACGGCCGCAAGGCUGAA